GAUGAACGCUGACAGAAUGCUUAACACAUGCAAGUCUACUUGAAUUUGGGUUUUUUAACUUAGAUUUGGGUGGCGGACGGGUGAGUAACGCGUAAAGAACUUGCCUCACAGCUAGGGACAACAUUUGGAAACGAAUGCUAAUACCUGAUAUUAUGAUUAUAAGGCAUCUUAGAAUUAUGAAAGCUAUAUGCGCUGUGAGAGAGCUUUGCGUCCCAUUAGCUAGUUGGAGAGGUAACGGCUCACCAAGGCGAUGAUGGGUAGCCGGCCUGAGAGGGUGAACGGCCACAAGGGGACUGAGACACGGCCCUUACUCCUACGGGAGGCAGCAGUGGGGAAUAUUGGACAAUGGACCAAGAGUCUGAUCCAGCAAUUCUGUAUGCACGAUGACGUUUUUCGGAAUGUAAAGUGCUUUCAGUUGGGAAGAAAAAAAUGACGGUACCAACAGAAGAAGUGACGGCUAAAUACGUG
rnacentral:rRNA from 1 species